rnacentral:lncRNA from 1 species
GAAUAAGCAAUGGCAGUGUUGGUUGUAUAUCCCAUGAAUAGGAGGGAAGAGUGGCAGAUAAAACAAAUGGGGUAGUACAACUGCUUUGCUCUCCUUCUCUUUUUCCAUGGCAAAUGAACUCAGCAGAAGCAGACUUCUUGCAUGAUUUCUUUUCAUCAGUCAUCACAUCUAUCCAUCAGGGAGAGAAACUUGAAGACAUGAACAUACCCAGUUCUUGA